UUAAGCGACUAAGCGUACACGGUGGAUGCCCUGGCAGUCAGAGGCGAUGAAGGACGUGCUAAUCUGCGAAAAGCGUCGGUAAGGUGAUAUGAACCGUUAUAACCGGCGAUGUCCGAAUGGGGAAACCCAGUGCAAUUCGUUGCACUAUCGUUAACUGAAUACAUAGGUUAACGAGGCGAACCGGGGGAACUGAAACAUCUAAGUACCCCGAGGAAAAGAAAUCAACCGAGAUUCCCCCAGUAGCGGCGAGCGAACGGGGAGCAGCCCAGAGUCUGAAUCAGCUUGUGUGUUAGUGGAACGGUCUGGAAAGUCCGACGGUACAGGGUGAUAGUCCCGUACACCAAAAUGCACAGGCUGUGAACUCGAAGAGUAGGGCGGGACACGUGGUAUCCUGUCUGAAUAUGGGGGGACCAUCCUCCAAGGCUAAAUACUCCUGACUGACCGAUAGUGAACCAGUACCGUGAGGGAAAGGCGAAAAGAACCCCGGCGAGGGGAGUGAAAAAGAACCUGAAACCGUGUACGUACAAGCAGUGGGAGCACCUUUAUGGUGUGACUGCGUACCUUUUGUAUAAUGGGUCAGCGACUUAUAUUCUGUAGCAAGGUUAACCGUAUAGGGGAGCCGCAGGGAAACCGAGUCUUAACUGGGCGUUAAGUUGCAGGGUAUAGACCCGAAACCCGGUGAUCUAGCCAUGGGCAGGUUGAAGGUUGGGUAACACUAACUGGAGGACCGAACCGACUAAUGUUGAAAAAUUAGCGGAUGACUUGUGGCUGGGGGUGAAAGGCCAAUCAAACCGGGAGAUAGCUGGUUCUCCCCGAAAGCUAUUUAGGUAGCGCCUCGUGAACUCAUCUUCGGGGGUAGAGCACUGUUUCGGCUAGGGGGUCAUCCCGACUUACCAACCCGAUGCAAACUACGAAUACCGAAGAAUGUUAUCACGGGAGACACACGGCGGGUGCUAACGUCCGUCGUGAAGAGGGAAACAACCCAGACCGCCAGCUAAGGUCCCAAAGUCAUGGUUAAGUGGGAAACGAUGUGGGAAGGCACAGACAGCCAGGAUGUUGGCUUAGAAGCAGCCAUCAUUUAAAGAAAGCGUAAUAGCUCACUGGUCGAGUCGGCCUGCGCGGAAGAUGUAACGGGGCUAAACCAUGCACCGAAGCUGCGGCAGCGACACUAUGUGUUGUUGGGUAGGGGAGCGUUCUGUAAGCCUGCGAAGGUGACCUGUGAGGGUUGCUGGAGGUAUCAGAAGUGCGAAUGCUGACAUAAGUAACGAUAAAGCGGGUGAAAAGCCCGCUCGCCGGAAGACCAAGGGUUCCUGUCCAACGUUAAUCGGGGCAGGGUGAGUCGACCCCUAAGGCGAGGCCGAAAGGCGUAGUCGAUGGGAAACAGGUUAAUAUUCCUGUACUUGGUGUUACUGCGAAGGGGGGACGGAGAAGGCUAUGUUAGCCGGGCGACGGUUGUCCCGGUUUAAGCAUGUAGGCUGGUUAUCCAGGCAAAUCCGGAUAAUCAAGGCUGAGGUGUGAUGACGAGGCACUACGGUGCUGAAGUAACAAAUGCCCUGCUUCCAGGAAAAGCCUCUAAGCAUCAGGUAACAUGAAAUCGUACCCCAAACCGACACAGGUGGUCAGGUAGAGAAUACCAAGGCGCUUGAGAGAACUCGGGUGAAGGAACUAGGCAAAAUGGUGCCGUAACUUCGGGAGAAGGCACGCUGGUGUGUAGGUGAAGCCCCUGCGGGUGGAGCUGAGACCAGUCGAAGAUACCAGCUGGCUGCAACUGUUUAUUAAAAACACAGCACUGUGCAAACACGAAAGUGGACGUAUACGGUGUGACGCCUGCCCGGUGCCGGAAGGUUAAUUGAUGGGGUUAUCCGUAAGGAGAAGCUCUUGAUCGAAGCCCCGGUAAACGGCGGCCGUAACUAUAACGGUCCUAAGGUAGCGAAAUUCCUUGUCGGGUAAGUUCCGACCUGCACGAAUGGCGUAAUGAUGGCCAGGCUGUCUCCACCCGAGACUCAGUGAAAUUGAACUCGCUGUGAAGAUGCAGUGUACCCGCGGCAAGACGGAAAGACCCCGUGAACCUUUACUAUAGCUUGACACUGAACAUUGAGCCUUGAUGUGUAGGAUAGGUGGGAGGCUUUGAAGCGUGGACGCCAGUCUGCGUGGAGCCAACCUUGAAAUACCACCCUUUAAUGUUUGAUGUUCUAACGUUGGCCCCUUACCGGGGUUGCGGACAGUGUCUGGUGGGUAGUUUGACUGGGGCGGUCUCCUCCCAAAGCGUAACGGAGGAGCACGAAGGUUAGCUAAUCCUGGUCGGACAUCAGGAGGUUAGUGCAAUGGCAUAAGCUAGCUUGACUGCGAGCGUGACGGCGCGAGCAGGUGCGAAAGCAGGUCAUAGUGAUCCGGUGGUUCUGAAUGGAAGGGCCAUCGCUCAACGGAUAAAAGGUACUCCGGGGAUAACAGGCUGAUACCGCCCAAGAGUUCAUAUCGACGGCGGUGUUUGGCACCUCGAUGUCGGCUCAUCACAUCCUGGGGCUGAAGUAGGUCCCAAGGGUAUGGCUGUUCGCCAUUUAAAGUGGUACGCGAGCUGGGUUUAGAACGUCGUGAGACAGUUCGGUCCCUAUCUGCCGUGGGCGCUGGAGAAUUGAGGGGGGCUGCUCCUAGUACGAGAGGACCGGAGUGGACGCAUCACUGGUGUUCGGGUUGUCAUGCCAAUGGCACUGCCCGGUAGCUAAAUGCGGAAGAGAUAAGUGCUGAAAGCAUCUAAGCACGAAACUUGCCCCGAGAUGAGUUCUCCCUGAGACUUUAAGUCUCCUGAAGGAACGUUAAAGACGAUGACGUUGAUAGGCCGGGUGUGUAAGCGCAGCGAUGCGUUGAGCUAACCGGUACUAAUGAACCGUGAGGCUUAACCU
rnacentral:rRNA from 1 species